GUACUUACCUGGAAGGGGAGAUAUCAUGGUCACGAAGGUGGUUUUCCCAGGGCGAGGCUUGUCCAUUGCACUCUGGAUGUGCUGACCUCUGUGGUGUCCCAAAAGGUGGAAACUCAACUGCAUAACUUGUGGUAGUGGUGCACUGUGUUCACGCUCUCCCG
rnacentral:snRNA from 1 species